rnacentral:piRNA from 1 species
UGAACUCUGCCUGUUGCCAGGACAUA